rnacentral:rRNA from 1 species
AGAGUUUGAUCCUGGCUCAGGACGAACGCUGGCGGCGUGCUUAACACAUGCAAGUCGAACGAGAUCCAUUCAGUAGCAAUACUGAUGAAGAUCUAGUGGCGAACGGGUGCGUAACACGUGAGGAACUUGUCCCGGUCUCUGGGAUAACAGUUGGAAACGACUGCUAAUACCGGAUGACGUCGGAACUUCGCAUGGAGUACUGACGAAAGGGUUACUGGAUCGGGAGAGCCUCGCGGCCUAUCAGCUUGUUGGUGGGGUAACGGCCUACCAAGGCAUCGACGGGUAGCUGGUCUGAGAGGAUGAUCAGCCACACUGGGACUGAGACACGGCCCAGACUCCUACGGGAGGCAGCAGUGGGGAAUCUUGCACAAUGGGCGAAAGCCUGAUGCAGCAACGCCGCGUGCGGGAAGAAGGCCCUCGGGUUGUAAACCGCUUUCAGAAGGAACGAAACUGACGGUACUUUCAGAAGAAGGUGCGGCCAACUACGUGCCAGCAGCCGCGGUGACACGUAGGCACCAAGCGUUGUCCGGAUUUAUUGGGCGUAAAGAGCUCGUAGGCGGUUCAGUAAGUCGGGUGUGAAAACUUUGGGCUUAACCCAAAGCGUGCAUCCGAUACUGCUGUGACUUGAGUACGGUAGGGGAGCGGGGAAUUCCUAGUGUAGCGGUGAAAUGCGCAGAUAUUAGGAGGAACACCGGUGGCGAAGGCGCCGCUCUGGGCCGAAACUGACGCUGAGGAGCGAAAGCAUGGGUAGCAAACAGGAUUAGAUACCCUAGUAGUCC